GACGAACGCUGGCGGCGUGCCUAAUACAUGCAAGUUGAGCGCUGAAGGUUGGUACUUGUACCGACUGGAUGAGCAGCGAACGGGUGAGUAACGCGUGGGGAAUCUGCCUUUGAGCAGGGGACAACAUUUGGAAACGAAUGCUAAUACCACAUAAAAACUUUAAACACAAGUNUUAAGUUUGAAAGAUNCAAUUGCAUCACUCAAAGAUGAUCCCGCGUUGUAUUAGCUAGUUGGUGAGGUAAAGGCUCACCAAGGCGAUGAUACAUAGCCGACCUGAGAGGGUGAUCGGCCACAUUGGGACUGAGACACGGCCCAAACUCCUACGGGAGGCAGCAGUAGGGAAUCUUCGGCAAUGGGCGAAAGUCUGACCGAGCAACGCCGCGUGAGUGAAGAAGGUUUUCGGAUCGUAAAACUCUGUUGGUAGAGAAGAACGUUGGUGAGAGUGGAAAGCCUCAUCAAGUGACGGUAACUACCCAGAAAGGGACGGCUAACUACGUGCCAGCAGCCGCGGUAAUACGUAGGUCCCGAGCGUUGUCCGGAUUUAUUGGGCGUAAAGCGAGCGCAGGUGGUUUAUUAAGUCUGGUGUAAAAGGCAGUGGCUCAACCAUUGUAUGCAUUGGAAACUGGUAGACUUGAGUGCAGGAGAGGAGAGUGGAAUUCCAUGU
rnacentral:rRNA from 1 species